CAAAGAAACCUGGCUUCUUUUCCUCCCUAUGUCUCCACACAGAAAAGCUGUUGAAUAAGCAUAAUCUUUUUAUUUCUUAUCUUUCAGGAAUGCAGGCUGGUUCACAUUGUAAGCAGCUAAGCAGAAAGAUUUCAUUCAUCUCGUUCAUUAAAAUUCAAAUAAUUAUGAAGUCAGAGAUGUUAACUUUUCAGUUAUUACAAUACAGCUGGCGAACAGAGACUGUUGCACCAACUGGGAGACUGGAAGCUUCAUCUUUGGUGGCCAGUUACUCAAAACCUGCAGGACAAGGACACGAGUUUCGACCUGUUGAUGUGUCCUAGAACCUUCUCUAUCAUCAACGCAAAGAAGCUAGAAACCUCCCUUAGCAAGGUUCCUACAAUAGCCUCUGAAGAGUGAAGACGUGGCCCUUGGAAGGGGCUGUAGAAGAAUCUAAGUAAGUGUCCAAGAUGAGAUAUUUUCCUUGUUGGUUGGUAAAGAU